rnacentral:rRNA from 1 species
UACGUAGGGGGCUAGCGUUGCUCGGAAUCACUGGGCGUAAAGCGCACGUAGGCGGCUUCUUAAGUCAGGGGUGAAAUCCUGGAGCUCAACUCCAGAACUGCCUUUGAUACUGAGGAGCUCGAGUCCGGGAGAGGUGAGUGGAACUCCGAGUGUAGAGGUGAAAUUCGUAGAUAUUCGGAAGAACACCAGUGGCGAAGGCGGCUCACUGGCCCGGUACUGACGCUGAGGCGCGAAAGCGUGGGGAGCAAACAGG